AUGGGGAUUAGUAUGAAAAUUUGCAGGAAAAUAAGUUUCCUGCGGAUUUUCAUACUAAUUCCUAGAA
rfam:Solanum tuberosum cultivar DM 1-3 516 R44 scf00244_32, whole genome shotgun sequence.